GUUGUACUUUGCCAAUUUCUGUUCUAGAAGAUUGACUCACAUCAACAAUAUUUCCAAGAGUCAUUAAUCAGCCACAGAUAGGAUUUACAUAUAAACAGGACAAGUUAUCUGCACAGAACAUCCUAUCAGAAAUGAGCCACUAAUGUCACCAAACUACAAAUCAGAAGCUUGCUUAGUAAUCAAUAGGUCAGGCAAAUUAAAUUGUUUUCUUGAUUUAUGUUCUCCCAAAAUUGACCCUGAGAAAAUGGUUUAAAUUCAAGUAUCUAUUUGGCAGAUAAUUCCUGGAAAUAUUAGUCAGGAAGUAAAGAAGUAAAACAGGGAAAGGAAGGAAGCCAGUAAAAUUUGCCUUGAUGAGCAAGAUCAGUAAGGGCAGCUGGAGCACAAUCUCCCUGGGAGAACAUGCCUCAGAUGUAUCCCACACAUGAGGCAAGGGAACUGGGAUAUUUAUCCAGUAACUCCAUCAGUCAUUGGUUAAGGAUUGCUUCUGGGAGGGUGGAGGGCAGAGAGGGCUCCAGGCAGAGUGGCAGCUGGAAGUUGGGCAGCAUGUAUGGACAUGGUAAAUGUCAAGGCGAUGGGGUGGGGCACCAACAGCAUCUGCUAUACCUGUUUUCUCCCAAAUGUUAUUUAUAAUUAGGUAAUAUGAAUUAAUCAGUAAAUUUUCUAUUAAGGGAAUUUUUCUGAAUAGUGGAACUAGUCCUGUAAAAACCAACCAACCUUCCUCUCCAUGGUGUUGGAUAGGUACUAACACGUUUUAAACAGCUAACCUCUUUUCUGUGCACUGUGCUGCCAAGUUUAUUGUUAGAGGAGAACAAAGGCUGGCCUAUGGAAAAGGAGAAAGUAGGCUAGCAGGGGAAGAAGAAAAGUGGGCAAUAAGGCAAGGGAACAAGAACCUGGGAGAAACAGAAGCAGUAGGGGUCGGACAGAAGUAGGGUGAGAAUCAUUUCAGCCUAUGGGAAAGGGAAGAGAUAGAAACAGACCUUUUCUAAUUCCUAAAAUCUAUUUUUUCCUAUUUACUAUUAGUAAUAACUAGUGGCAUAAUUACUAUAAUAAUAAGUGGUGGUGAUGGGAAGAUUUGGGGGUAUUCAUUUUAUGUAUCCAGAGUUUGGGCUUUUGGCUCCUCUCUACCGCUCUCACUAGAGACCGAGUUUUUCUUUUCUUUUGGUUUGGCUGCUUGGGUUUAUAUUUCCUCCCAGAAGGACUGACUGCUUCUGGCCACCUGUAACCUACUCCAGGAGGACCCAAGAUAAAUUACACGGUCACAGCAGAACGUAAGGACAAGAAGGAUCACAACUAUCUUCUUUGUCAGGUCAUGUGGACCCUUAGGGGUUGACUAACCAGGCAGAGUUACUCUAGGAGCAGCUAUGGAAAACUAGAGUGGGUAUGCACUCUCUGGGUCCACACCUCAGUUUUGGAACACAACUCCAUAAAAGAAGGAACUUCAUAAUGCUGGCAUAUUCAGGGCAAAAUAAUUCUUCCUUAAAGCCAAGCAACAGCAGUAUAAGCCUAGCGGUUGAGAGUGUAGGUGUCAGCAUCAUGCAGACCUGAGGUAGACUACUGGCUCAGUUACUUAGCUCCGCUGCAUGUAUUCAUCCAGACAUAAACGUCAAUACCUCGUUGAGUAUCCUGUGAAGAAUCCACUCUCACAAAGCAUUUGAGGGUAAGGUAGACUUUCUUAAGAUUCGACAGUGGCGAUUGAGAAAGAAUUUACAUCAUGCUACCCAAAGCAAUCAACUUUAAAAUCUGACAUUUGUAUCCUCCCAAGUCCAUUCUUAGCCUUCCUGAUACAAUGAUUUUCUCUCUUUCCUUCCUCCAUACAAUGCUGGGUGUCAUUGGCUCCAUUCUCCUCAUUCUCACCCCUCCUUAUUUUGUCUUCCACCUUGCUACGCAGCUGAGCCCCCUCCAGCUCUCCAGCUCAGCAGCAUAAAGGGUUCUCCAGUUAACAGGAUCUCCU
ensembl:lncRNA